rnacentral:rRNA from 1 species
UACAGAGGUCUCAACCGUUGUUCGGAUUCAUUGGGCGUAAAGGGUGUGUAGGCGGGUAUUUAAGUCAGUGGUGAAAUCUCCAGGCUCAACCUGGAAACUGCCAUUGAUACUAUUUAUCUUGAAUAUUGUUGAGGUAGGCGGAAUAUAUCAUGUAGCGGUGAAAUGCUUAGAUAUGAUAUAGAACACCGAUUGCGAAGGCAGCUUACUAAACAAUCAUUGACGCUGAGGCACGAAAGCGUGGGGAUCAAACAGG